rnacentral:lncRNA from 1 species
CAGGGCCGUGCGCAGCCGCAGUCCGUUGCUUCUCCCUCCCUGGCUUCCACAGCAGAGGGGUGUCCCGGGCUGGCGGAAAUGAAGCUGCUGUGCACAUCUCUGGAACAUCUCGGGUUCACCCUCAAGAUUUUUCAAAUUGUUACAAAUCUUAAAAAGAAUUUAUUCCAGCCAUGGUGGCGCAUGCCUGUGAUCCCAGCAUUCAGGAAGCUGAGGCAGGGGGAUCGCUGCAAGUUCAAGGCCAGCCUGGACUACACAGUGAGACCCUGUCUCAAAAAACAACAAAAAAACCCUUCUGUCUCUCUUAGACAGAAGCUUUCUUUCUCUCAAUAAAUUUUUCCUACUCUAAAAAACAACAACAACAACAACAAAGAAUGUAAUAGAAGUGGACCAGGGCCCGGGACUCGUAUUGUUUGGG